rnacentral:rRNA from 1 species
UACGUAGGGCGCAAGCGUUGUCCGGAAUUAUUGGGCGUAAAGAGCUCGUAGGCGGUUUGUUGCGUCGGCUGUGAAAUCCCGAGGCUCAACCUCGGGUCUGCAGUCGAUACGAGCAAACUAGAGUGUUGCAGGGGAGACUGGAAUUCCUGGUGUAGCGGUGAAAUGCGCAGAUAUCAGGAGGAACACCGGUGGCGAAGGCGGGUCGCUGGGCAACAACUGACGCUGAGGAGCGAAAGCGUGGGGAGCGAACAGG